GGAUAUGAACCAUUGAGUGCGCUCACGGGCUGUUCGCACCUUCGGUGCUGCCCUCCGCGAGGGCGCCGGAUCUACCGGCGACGGCCUCUGGCCUGUAUUGGCGAGCGUUACUUAGCGUAGAGUUUGUCGAGAUCGGGCCUGUAGCUCAGUUGGUUAGAGCACACGCAUGAUAAGCGUGGG
rnacentral:misc_RNA from 1 species